rnacentral:lncRNA from 1 species
AAGUGUGCCGCCCCCAAGGUCCAGAGGGGGAGAUACUUUUGCCACAGUUCCUCAGGGGACCAGAGUGGACCCUACCAAGGUUCACCCCUGCUUUGUAUUUCCUAUUCCCUGGGUGUCCCUCCCUCCCAGGCUCUGUUGUGAGGAGAAGACUAAAGUAAGACAGUAAACCAGGUGGUAAAGGAGGCACAGCCUCUGUAUUCUGAAGCGUACAGUCAGGGACAGAGAAACUAAUCACACAAAUGAGCUACUGCAGCGGCAGACACGGUGAAGAGCUCAGAGGGUCACAGGUGAUGGUGGGUGGGGACAGUUUGAAAGGCAGGUGGACACCUGAUGAUAUUUACACGUGUUCACUGCACAAAGCACUGUGAUACUACACCUGUACUCAGACUCUCAACACUAACUUUGAACGCCUGAAUCAGAAUAGCUCUAUAAAAACACAACAGAAUAACAUUCAAAAAGAGGCACAGGGGUUUGAAUAGGCCUUAAUAUUAGGCAAGCCUAAGUGCUACCUGUGCCCUGGUAAAGGUUUCCUUUCUCUCUCAAGAGUCCUGGGUCUCUAACCUUCCCCUUCCCUUCUUCCUCCGUCUCCAUUGUCACAUCCACCUCCCACAUGGAUGGUAUAUUAGCUUGCAAGACAUCUUCCUGAGUUCAAAACCUAGAACCAGAGUGUCAUUCCCAAGAAGUAAGUCUGAGCCCGUCAUUUUCCUAGUUAUCAUCUCUAAUGGCUUCCCUUUGAACUUACACAAAAUCCAAAAUCCAGACUCUGGCUUCCAGGACCUGAGCAGUGUAGCCACUGGCAACCUUUCUGACAUCACUGAAUGCACUGCGUCUAGCUGGUUCCCUCCAGCUCUCCCUGUCUGUGCAGGUGGAUUACUGACUGGCAAGGCAAGUCAGAGAAGCCCGGUCUCCCCACCCCCGUUGGUCUUGCUCAAGUUUGACAAGUUUCUACAGUGA